rnacentral:sRNA from 1 species
GCUGGGUGCUGUGGUGCACACCUAUAAUCCCAGCAGCUCAGGAGGCUGAGAUAGGAGGAUUGGGACUUCAAAGCCAGUCUCAGCAAUGGGAAGGCAUUCAACAACUCAAUCAGACCCUGUCUCUA